AAGAUGUGGGGUUAUAGUCACAGCUCAGAGAAGGUUCUUUCAGACGUGCUGAAUCCAAGUUACAAAACAAAUUGUGAGCAUCUGGAUUGCAAUCCCGGAAAGUUUAGCAACCGAUCCAGAGAAGCUGGUCCCACACAACACUGAGCUAACUCCACAGACGAGAGGACGAAGAGUGACUGGUAAGAAAACAAUUAAGUGAAGAAAAAAUACACAGAAUGGGAAAGACUUUGUGUCAAUCUGAUGGAGG
rnacentral:lncRNA from 1 species